rnacentral:rRNA from 1 species
AGUCGCCUAAGGAUGAGGCCGCGACCGAUCAGGUGUUGGCGAGGUAACGGCUCACCAAGCCUUUUACCGGUGCGGGCCGUGAGAGCGGGAGCCCGGAGAUGGGUACUGAGACAAGGACCCAGGCCCUACGGGGCGCAGCAGUCGCGAAACCUUUGCAAUACACGAAAGUGUGACAGGGCUAUCCCGAGUGCCAUCCGCUGAGGAAGGCUUUUACCCAGUCUAGAUAGCUGGGGGAAUAAGGAGAGGGCAAGUCUGGUGUCGGCCGCCGCGGUAAUACCAGCUCUCCGAGUGGUGUGGAUGUUUAUUGGGCCUAAAGCAUCCGUAGCUGGCUAGGUCAGUCCCUUGUCAAAUCCACCGAAUUAAUCGUUGGAUCGCGGGGGAUACUGCUUGGCUAGGGGACGAGAGAGGCAGACGGUAUUUUCGGGGUAGGGGUGAAAUCCUAUAAUCCCGGGAAGACCACCAGUGGCGAAGGCUGUCUGCUAGAACGCGCCCGACGGUGAGGGAUGAAAGCUGGGGGAGCGAACCGGAUUAGAUACCCGGGUAGUCCCAGCCGUAAACUAUGCGCGUUAGGUGUAUCGGUGACCACGAGUUACCGAGGUGCCGAAGGGAAACCGUGAAACGUGCCGCCUGGGAAGUACAGUCGCAAGGCUGAAACUUAAAGGAAUUGGCGGGGGAG